rnacentral:rRNA from 1 species
UACGUAGGUGGCAAGCGUUGUCCGGAAUUAUUGGGCGUAAAGCGCGCGCAGGCGGUCCUUUAAGUCUGAUGUGAAAGUCCACGGCUCAACCGUGGAGGGUCAUUGGAAACUGGGGGACUUGAGUGCAGAAGAGGAAAGCGGAAUUCCACGUGUAGCGGUGAAAUGCGUAGAGAUGUGGAGGAACACCAGUGGCGAAGGCGGCUUUCUGGACCAUUGCUGACGCUGAGACACGAAAGCGUGGGUAGCAAACAGG